UGCAGGGAGAAUGCGUUGGAAGCCAUUAUGCUACGGUAGCUGAGGACUCAGUGCAGGUGAAGCUUCCGCCUGAAAGAUGAGCUAAAGCCAGAGGGAAAUUCCAUCCAGGACCGCACAUGUGACUCGUUCCAAGAGCUCUCAAGACAGGGGCUCUCUGGUACUUCUCUCUCCUGGAUAUUGUCUCCAGCCUUAUCUAUGCCAACAGUAUACACAAUACAUGGCUGGGGACAGCUACAACGUUGCAGAGGGGUCUCCACCAGGGUUGAGAACUGCUCUUGGAGGUUGAACAUUGAACUUUCUCCUGCGCUGCACUGUCCUGUGUGGAUUCUGGAGGAACCAGUGCCGCGCGUGCCUCUGAGCACCCCUGGGUUUGCCCUUGUUUCAACCUCAGAGACUGUGGAAGUUCUGCUCCAAUCAGAGACUGACUCCCUCUCUGUACCACCCACCUCCCUGCUCCGGUCACGUGCUUCCCCCAACAUGCGUCCUGUUCCUUGCUCAAGGGUUGUCAGGCUUCCAUAAGAUAACUUCUGUGGUUAUCACUCAUCCAGAUUCUUAAGGCCAGCUGCCCAAAGCUCCCAGAUAAUACACACAAUACUUACUUCUGUUUUCAAUUGCCUAUCUUCAAAAUAAAAUAAAACAAAACAACAGCAGAAA
rnacentral:lncRNA from 1 species